GUGGGAAAAGGGAAGUUUGGCAAUCAGCCUCUCUCUUUCUCUUGUAGACGAAGUUUUGCUAUAGACCGUCUCUUUUUCAGACUUCCCGCUCCAGCUUCUCACUCUUCUCACUACUCUGCGAAUCACUCUGCUCCACUCCGGUCAAAUAUUCUUGGCGCCAUCGCGACAACCGUUCUUGCUGCAAAUCUCCUUCCCGUCAAAGUCGCUCACCGGCGUCUCCGUCUCUAUUGAACUACAAUGAAGGGAAAAAGAGAAGGAAGUGUGGAGUCAGGAUUCAGGAGAAGAAUUCAUGGGAGAAAAAUGAGGGAAAGACAACAUUUACAUUGGUUGCUUUAGAUUUUCAUUGAAAACUUUGAAUUUUGAACAAUAUAUUCUUUUAAACAUUCUCCUUUUGUGUAGCUUUCUUACUUUCAAUAUUGGGUGUUUUUUGACAUGACAGUAUAAGGGUGAUGUAGUGGAUAGAUUUUGUGCCUACAUGUAGUCACCAUUUUGGUUUGGAGGUAUUUAUAUAAAACUUAGUUCUAUCUCGGAUGAAGGAAAAACCUCUGUUCAGGUUGAAUCAAAGCUAGCUGAACUGGCUCUAGAUGAAAGGAUGGAAUAUUUAAAAUCACUUGGUGUUAAUGAAAAUGGCCUUGGAAAUCUUAUUAGGACAACAUAUGCCCUACUGGGUUUGAGAACAUACUUCACUCCUGGCGAGAAGGCAUGACUGCACCUCAAGCUGCUGGAGUUAUACAGUCUGAAAGGUUGCUUAUGAUGAUUUUGUUGCUGCUGGAUCAUUUGCAGCUGCAAGAGAGAAAGGACUUGUCUACACUUGAUCAAAGUCAUUGAAGAAGAAGGCUAUGGAUGGUGCAUUGAUCAAAGCUAUUGAAGUAGUGUCGCAUUUGAAGGCUUAUUAAUUUGGGUGCAGCGAGCACACUUAAGUAGUAUCAAUUAAGUAGUAUAUAUUUUCAUACUUAAGUAGUAUAUAUUUUUAUGACUUUUUU